CAGACAUGGACCAGGCUCUGGUCAGUGAUGAGUGGGAGCUGGGACACAAGGACAGGCCAGCAAGGGGAACAUGUUAAUUUCUGGGUAAAAUACCAGCUGGCUCCAAGAAAGAAUGAACUAUGCCAAGAACAGUUUCUUGGAAAUGAAACCAUAUAUAAGUUACAAGUUUCUUCCUGACUUUCCAUCAGGCAUGCCAGAAGGAAGGAAUAUGGAUUCCCUUUUCCAGGAAAACAAUAACUCAAAAGAGGCAACUCUACAUGUGAUGUAAAAGUAGUGUCUGAGCUCCUGCAGGAUGAGUCAUUUGCUGGACUGAUUUAAGCCAUUGGGUGGAAGAGAUAUCCUUGUUUAUAAACAUAUUGUAGUAAUGCAGUCCAUGCUCUUCAAAGUCAUGGGGAUCCAUCAGUUAACUUGGGCAAGUAUUAUUACCCUGCAAAGAGUAAAUUAUUUCAGACUAGCUCCAAAUGCAGAUUCGAUGAAAAAGACUGUCAAAAAAGGAGAAAUAAAUAUCUGUUAAAUCCUUGUCAAGACAAUUUGUAGCUUCUUUCACUCAAUGCAAAUGGAGUAUCUAACAUGAAUUAUUCCAAAAAGAGAGAAAAGAGCAGCAUUAAAAGAAUGGAAUCAUCUGGGAAAAGUCAAAUCCAGGACACAACCAAGAGCAGCCACAGAGGGCUGGAGCUAACAAAAACAGCAAUAGCAACAUAUUAACAGGGAAAUGGGGAUAUUUCAAAGGGAAUGAAAAAUGAAAAAUUGACCUAAA